CAGUCGCCGCGGGAAUACAGAGGGUGCAAGCGUUAAUCGGAAUUACUGGGCGUAAAGCGCGCGUAGGUGGUUUGUUAAGUUGGAUGUGAAAUCCCCGGGCUCAACCUGGGAACUGCAUCCAAAACUGGCAAGCUAGAGUAUGGUAGAGGGUGGUGGAAUUUCCUGUGCAGCGGUGAAAUGCGUAGAUAUAGGAAGGAACACCAGUGGCGAAGGCGACCACAUGGACUGAUACUGACACUGAGGUGCGAAAGCGUGGGGAGCAAACAGGAUUAGAUACCCCGGUAGUCCCUGUCUCUUAUAC
rnacentral:rRNA from 1 species